rnacentral:rRNA from 1 species
GAUGAACGCUGGCGGCGUGCCUAAUACAUGCAAGUCGAGCGAACGGACGAGAAUCUUGCUUCUCUGAUGUUAGCGGCGGACGGGUGAGUAACACGUGUAUAACCUACCUAUAAGACUGGGAUAACUUCGGGAAACCGGAGCUAAUACCGUAUAAUAUUUUGAACCGCAUGGUUCAAAAGUGAAAGACGGUCUUGCUGUCACUUAUAGAUGGAUCCGCGCUGCAUUAGCUAGUUGGUAAGGUAACGGCUUACCAAGGCAACGAUGCAUAGCCGACCUGAGAGGGUGAUAGGCCACACUGGAACUGAGACACGGACAAGACUACUACGGGAGGCCGCAGUAGGGAAUCUUACGCAAUGGGCGAAAGUCUGACGGAGCAACGCCGCGUGAGUGAUGAAGGUGUUCGGAUCGUAAAACUCUGUUAUUAGGGAAGAACAUAUGUGUAAGUAACUGUGCACAUAUUGACGGUACCUAAUAAGAAAGCAACGGCUAGCUACGUG